UACGAAGGGGGCUAGCGUUGCUCGGAAUCACUGGGCGUAAAGCGCACGUAGGCGGAUUGUUAAGUCAGGGGUGAAAUCCUGGAGCUCAACUCCAGAACUGCCUUUGAUACUGGCGAUCUUGAGUCCGGGAGAGGUGAGUGGAACUGCGAGUGUAGAGGUGAAAUUCGUAGAUAUUCGCAAGAACACCAGUGGCGAAGGCGGCUCACUGGCCCGGUACUGACGCUGAGGUGCGAAAGCUAGGGGAGCAAACAGG
rnacentral:rRNA from 1 species